CCUACGGGAGGCUGCAGUCGAGAGGCUUCGGCAAUGGGGGAAACCCUGACCGAGCGACGCCGCGUGGGGGAUGAAGGCCCUUGGGUUGUAAACCCCUUUUAUUCGGGAAGCGGUACCGGAUGAAUAAGCUCCGGCUAACUCCGUGCCAGCAGCCGCGGUAACACGGGGGGAGCAAGCGUUGUUCGGAAUCACUGGGCGUAAAGGGCGUCUAGGCGGUCAGGUAAGUGGGAUGUGAAAUGCCCCGGCUCACCCGGGGACCGGCAUCUCAUACUGCUUGGCUUGAGUACGGGAGAGAUUGGGAAUUCCUGGUGUAGCGGUGAAAUGCGUAGAUAUCAGGAGGAACACCGGUGGCGAAGGCGCACAUCUGGCCGAACUGACGCUAAAGCGCGAAAGCUAGGGGAGCAAACGGGAUUAGAUACCCUUGUAGUC
rnacentral:rRNA from 1 species